GUCUAUGGCCAUACCACCUUGAACUUGCCCGAUCUCGUCUGAUCUUGAAGCUAAGCAGGGUUGGGCCUGGUUAGUACUUAGAUGGGAGAAGACCAAUAUAGGUU
rnacentral:rRNA from 1 species